rnacentral:snoRNA from 1 species
AUAAUUGCUGUGAUGACAUCUACAAGGACGGUAUCUGAGCGAUGGAUCUAUCCUCACGUGAUUAUACCUAAACUGAGACUAAAAAUGUCUGAGCAAAACU